UUGUCACAGUGUGACAAAUGGCAUGUGGAACUUAUUCCCGCUGAAGCAGUGUUCCCGGGGGAACGCUUUGAGUGUAACCCUGUUCCCAGGCCUGUGUGUGCGUUUGUUGCUGUGACAACCCCAAAUGAUGGAUUGGCAACAGGUGUGGGGGAUUUACUCAGAGUUUGCGUGAGGCCUCAUCAACAGUGGAGAGGAUAAAAAGCAAGAGAGAGAGGUGGUGCGUGUGGUUUUUCUCCCUUGUGAAAAGUCGUUUUAUUGGGUGGUAAUAGUUACUGGAGGACGGGUGAAUGAAGAGGACAGUGUUGCUUGAUGAGGGAUUCGAGAACAACAGCAGGAGAGUGAAUUACCCUGUUUGCAUUGGAGAGGAGCUGAGUAACUGAGAACUGAGUCUUGUAAUUGCACACGUUUGACACUGAAUUGGAUGUGGUUUGGAGUGUUUGGAUCACGAUCAUAAAUAUCACUGAGUGGAUUGUAUUGAUUCAUUACCGAUCUCUUACCUCUCCCUCCUCUAUAAAUGGUGAUGUGAACUCUGCCUGUGACUGUGAAGAAAAACAUCUCAGAACAUCCUCAGUGGCAGUGAGGAUUGCGCCCUCCCCCUUCCCUUCGGACAGAAACCCGAAUGAGAAGAGAUGCCCUGUUGAAAUAUUUACUAUCUGCCUCAGAAAAGCUCUGUGCAACCUGUUGACUUCGAGUCUGCUGUAUCCCUGCCAUUCAACUGUAUGGUGAGAGGUGUUCGCUCCUUCCAAUACAUGUGAAUUGUAUACUUGCCUGAAACAUCCAUUCUGUCUGUCUCAGAAGAAGCCCCAUUCAGCCUGUUGACUUCGAGUCUGCUGUAUCCCUGCCAUUCAACUGUAUGGUGAGAGGUGUUCGCUCCUUCCAAUACAUGUGAAUUGUAUACUUGCCUGAAACAUCCAUUCUGUCUGUCUCAGAAGAAGCCCCAUUCAGCCUGUUGACUUCGAGUCUGCUGUAUCCCUGCCAUUCAACUGUAUGGUGAGAAGUGUUCGCUCCUUCCAAUGCAUGUGAACUGUAUACUUGCCUGAAACAUCCAUUCUGUCUGUCUCAGAAGAAGCCCAUAUUCAGCCUGUUGACUUCGAGUCUGCUGUAUCCCUGCCAUUCAACUGUAUGGAGAGAAGUGUUCGUUCCUUCCACUGCCUGUGAACUGUAUACUUGUCUGAAACAUCCAUUCUGUCCGUCUCAGAAGAAGCCCCAUUCAGCCUGUUGACUUCGAGUCUGCUGUAUCCCUGCCAUUCAACUGUAUGGUGAGAAGUGUUCGCUCCUUCCAAUGCAUGUGAACUGUAUACUUGCCUGAAACAUCCAUUCUGUCUGUCUCAGAAGAAGCCCCAUUCAGCCUGUUGACUUCGAGUCUGCUGUAUCCCUGCUAUUCGUCUGUAUUGUGAGAAGUGUUCGUUCCUUCCAAUGCAUGUGAACUGUAUACUUGCCUGAAACAUCCAUUCUGUCUGUCUCAGAAGAAGCCCCAUUCAGCCUGUUGACUUCGAGUCUGCUGUAUCCCUGCCAUUCAACUGUAUGGUGAGAAGUGUUCGCUCCUUCCAAUGCAUGUGAACUGUAUACUUGCCUGAAACAUCCAUUCUGUCUGUCUCAGAAGAAGCCCCAUUCAGCCUGUUGACUUCGAGUCUGCUGUAUCCCUGCUAUUCAUCUGUAUGAGGAAGCCCCAUUCAGCCUGUUGACUUCGAGUCUGCUGUAUCCCUGCUAUUCAUCCGUAUUGUGAGAAGUGUUCGUUCCUUCCAACGCAUGUGAACUGUAUACUUUGUCUGAAGCAUCCAUUCUGUCUGUUUCAGUAGAAACCCUGCACAGCCUGUUGACUUAGAGUUUGUUGCAUCCUUGUGGCCCACCUGUGCUGAGAGAGGUGACUGUCCUUUGUCGCGAACGUGAGAUGGGCACGCUUUGUCUGGAAUAUCCACUCUGACGGCGUCAGGAGAAGCCACCUUACUGUAAGACCGUGCACCUGCCGUAUACGUACUUGACUGAUAUCAUUCACCUCAAAUUCCGUACCUGUGGAAGAAGGAAAGAAGGCUGGAAUUACAUACGUACCGGAGGAGACUUACCGGACCCCUCACUUGCCAAACACAUCCCCACCUCAAGGCUGUGUAUCUGCCGUGUACGGACCUGACCGAUAUCCAUCCGUCCCAAAUUCUGCAUCUGUGAAGAAGGGAAGGGAGUUUGGAAGUAUUUAAUUACCAGAGGAGACUUACCAGACUGCGGGCUUGCCGAUUGUAUUCCCACCUGUGAAAUACCUACUUGACCACCCAUCUGUCCAUCUAUUGCGGGGCCCGCACAGAGGAAGAGGGCGGGAGAGUCCCCGGUCGCUGCAUUGUUUACCUUCAAGCCCUGAGGGUAACAAAGAAGAUUUUAGGUUAGGAUUCCCAAUUUGCUUUUACUUCAAAAUAAAACUUGUUAAAUUUAUUCUCUGUCUCCGACUCUUCCCUCUGAUACGCUCCUCGAGGUGGUCCUGGUUUAGGGGUGGGCGCAGUCCAGCUUGGCC
rnacentral:lncRNA from 1 species